GAUGAACGCUGGCGGCGUGGCUAAUACAUGCAAGUCGAGCGAACGGACGAGAAGCCUGCUUCUCUGAUGUUAGCGGCGGACGGGUGAGUAACACGUGGAUAACCUACCUACAAGACUGGGACAACUUCGGGAAACCGUAGCUAAUACCGGAUCAUAUUUUGAACGGCAUGGUCAAAAAACGAAAGACGGUCUUGCUGUCACUUAUCGGUGGACCCGCGCUGCAUUAGCUAGUUGGUAAGGUAACGGCUUACCAAGGCAACGAUGCAUAGCCGACCUGAGAGGGUGAUCUGCCCCACUGGAACUGGGACACCGUCCAGACUCCUGCGGGACUCAGUGGUCGGGAACCUUCCGCCAUGGGCGCAGACCUGACAGUAGCCCUGCCAGUGCGUGAUGAAGGUCUUCGGAUCGUAACACUCUGUUAUUAGGGAAGAACAUAUCUGUCAGUAACUGUGCACAUCUUCCCGGCCCCUAAUCAGAAAGCUACCCCUGACUUCGUC
rnacentral:rRNA from 1 species